GACGAACGCUGGCGGCGUGCUUAACACAUGCAAGUCGAACGGAAAGGCCCUGCUUUUGUGGGGUGCUCGAGUGGCGAACGGGUGAGUAACACGUGAGUAACCUGCCCUUGACUUUGGGAUAACUUCAGGAAACUGGGGCUAAUACCGGAUAGGAGCUCCUGCUGCAUGGUGGGGGUUGGAAAGUUUCGGCGGUUGGGGAUGGACUCGCGGCUUAUCAGCUUGUUGGUGGGGUAGUGGCUUACCAAGGCUUUGACGGGUAGCCGGCCUGAGAGGGUGACCGGCCACAUUGGGACUGAGAUGCGGCCCAGACGCCUACGGGAGGCAGCAGUGGGGAAUAUUGCACGAUGGGCGGAAGCCUGAUGCAGCAUCGCCGCGUGCGGGAGGACGGCCUUCGGGUUGUAAACCGCUUUCGCCUGUGACGAAGCGUGAGUGACGGUAAUGUGUAAAGAAGCACCGGCUAACUACGUG
rnacentral:rRNA from 1 species